UGGAGGAUAUCUAUGAGAGCACCACCCACUACUACCUGGUCAUGCAGCUUGUUUCUGGAGGUGAGCUUUUUGACCGAAUCCUAGAGCGUGGUGUCUACACAGAAAAGGAUGCCAGUCUGGUCAUCCAGCAGGUCUUGUCUGCCGUGAAAUACCUUCAUGAGAAUGGCAUCGUUCACAGAGAUCUAAAGGUGAUGGGGCAGAGGUGCUGGGUGGGAAAUACAUGUCACAUGAGAGUGUUAGCCUGAUUGGACUCACAGGCUUCAUCUACCCUAAGAUUCCUUAUGCUGAGCAUAGAUGACCAUUGUUCAACUGCACCUUGACCUUUUCAGGGACCUUUUAAAUGUUCCCUCAUUGCAAUGUCAAAGUGACCUGCAGCCACAGUCAAAUUCAAGUAUAACAGAUACUAAGGGUCU
rnacentral:lncRNA from 1 species